rnacentral:rRNA from 1 species
AUUGAACGCUGGCGGCAUGCCUUACACAUGCAAGUCGAACGGUAACAGGUCUUCGGAUGCUGACGAGUGGCGAACGGGUGAGUAAUACAUCGGAACGUGCCCGAUCGUGGGGGAUAACGCAGCGAAAGCUGUGCUAAUACCGCAUACGAUCUACGGAUGAAAGCGGGGGAUCGCAAGACCUCGCGCGAUUGGAGCGGCCGAUAUCAGAUUAGCUAGUUGGUGGGGUAAAAGCUCACCAAGGCGACGAUCUGUAGCUGGUCUGAGAGGACGACCAGCCACACUGGAACUGAGACACGGUCCAGACUCCUACGGGAGGCAGCAGUGAGGAAUAUUGGGCAAUGGGCGAAAGCCUUACCCAGCAAUGCCGCGUGUAUGAAGAAGGUCUUCGGAUUGUAAAGUACUAUAUUGGGGAAGAACACAAUGACGGUACCCAAGAGAAAAAGCCCCGGCUAACUAUGUGCCAGCAGCGCGGUAAUCAUACUCG